UACGGAGGUUCCUAGCGUUGUUCGGAAUUACUGGGCGUAAAGGGAGCGCAGGCGGACAGGUCAGUCUAAAGUGGAAUCCCGGGGCUCAACCUCGGACGUGCUUUGGAUACUGCUUGUCUUGAGUUCGUGAGAGGAAAGCGGAAUUCAGGGUGUAGCGGUGAAAUGCUUAGAUAUCCUGAGGAACACCGGUGGCGAAAGCGGCUUUCUGGUACGAAACUGACGCUGAGGCUCGAAAGCGUGGGGAGCGAACGGG
rnacentral:rRNA from 1 species